rnacentral:sRNA from 1 species
UACAUUUUUGCAACUUUCAUAGCCGCAAUGUUUCUCCUGCGACUUUGUAUUUUCACUUUCAAGUAUUUGAUAUUCAGUUUUCGUUUAAGUCUUUCGUCAUUUCUGUUAUCAUGUUUUCAAUCGUUGCUUUGCUAUUGUCUUUGAUUAUGUCUGAGUAGUGAACCGUAUUUCUGAAGAUGGGAUAGAUUAGUUGUGGUUUACUUGGUCGUUUUAGGUGGUUGAGUUUAGAAUACUAGAAUCCCUUCUGGAUUAGUUGCGCUUAUUGCUUGUUUCACUGGCUAAUGUGGAAUAUGAGUCCAGACGUCCAGCGCUCCCAAGGCGUUUAAUGGGCGUUGGAUCCUAUUAAUUCCAGAGAUAUCUGCCUCUACCCCAAGGGAUUGGCUGUAGAGAGGGUAUUGGCUUUAACAAGUUGAUUCGAUAAUGCCUGCUUAGUUAGAGAUCGCUAAUGGGAAUUAGGUCAGUGUCUAGCUUUGCUUGAGGAUUUCUAUCACGAGAGUGAAUUAAUCUGUUGUUGAACUUGUUGUCUAUGGAUAGCUUCUGUGAAGUUUCGUUAACCGCCUAAAUAGAUUAAGGAGACCACACUAUUCGAUUACCCCAUCCUUAGGAAUCGUUUAUCCAUUUGACUGCAUGUUAUCAUUUCUGCUUUGUUAUUCACCUGCCUGUUAUUGCCAUUUCUGCUUUUAGUUUCAUUUCAUGUCUGUUUUUUGCAUACUAGGACUGUUAAACCCAACCAACUCUCUGCUUGGCUUGACUUAGAGCUUUCUAAUCAUAUCUCAUUUGUUUCCGUCACACCGGAUUUGAUUGACAACCUAAAAUACUACAACGACAGGAUAGUGUUUUAGGACUAAUUGAGUAAAAAUUCUACU